AUUUAAACGUUACAAAUAGCGAUAUACAUGUAAACAUUACAUUUUGUUUGGGCUGUAUUAGUUACAGACAGAGAAGGGGGGAGGGUGUGGAAUGUCAGGGAGAAGAAGGGAGAGGGAGGUCUACGUCUUAGAGCCCAGCUCGAGUCCUCAGUUUCAGCAGCAGCGGCCACCACUCUUCCCCAAAGCGCUGCCCAUUUUCCACCAAAAUCGCAUCUUAAACUCUUCCAAUUUCAAACACGAGAUGCCCGGAGAAGGAUUUGGGUCUCUAUUUUGAAGGCAUCUACGCGUCUGUGAAGCUGAGGAGCAGAUUCGUGAGAUUGAGUCCCUCUCUUGAAGGAGAUGUAUAUACAUGAUGAAUUGCUCAAACAUGAUUUGGAUGGUAAACCUUCUGUUGAUGUACCAAGCUGCCCAGUUUUAGUGUUUGUUGAUAUAAAAGAUGAAAAGCUUGGAGGACGACUCUAUAACGAAUUUUGCUACCGUCUUAAUAAAAAACAGGUCUUUGCUGUGCUGGAAGACUCUGAUUCUAAGAGACCCAUAAAGAUAGAGGACCCUGAGGGCGUGCUAAAGGAGGUUUAUGGUAUUCUACGUAAGAGUGAAAAAUAUGAGUUUGCUGAUGAUAUUCAUAAGAGGAUGAGAAUUAUAGUAACAUAUUAAAUUUAUCCCAUAUAGCCAAUUGUUCAAGACUUUUUCUUGUUUGUUAUUUUUUUGUUUUUGGAUUUGUAUUUAUAAUUUCAAAAUAUCUGACAUACAUUUUGGAUAUUUUUUCUUUAAUUAAUCUUUGGGUUGUGA